GGGGGGCAUAGGGGAGUCCGCAGGGGUCUUUAGGGGGUGUUGGGGUCUUGUAGGGGAUGUAGGGCAGCGUGUGGGGAUCGGAAGGAAAUAUGGGGGGGCUGAUGGGGGUCUCACAGGGACGUGUUGGGAAUGCUUGGGAGGGGGAGGGGGGCAUGGGCGUCCCAUAGGGCACGUGGGGGUCCUAUAGGGCACGUAGAGGUCCCAUGGGGCACACGGGGGUCCCAUAGGGCACAUAGGGGUCUUAUAGGGCACAUGGAGAUCUCAUAGAGCACAUAGAAGUCUCAUAGCGCAUAUGGAGAUCCCAUAAGGCACAUAGGGGUCCCAUAGGGCACAUGGAGGACAUGUGGGGGUCCCAUAGGGCACAUGGAGCUCCCAUAGAGCACGUGGAGGUUCUAUAGGACAUGUAAGAGUCCCACAGGACACAGGGAUGUCCUAUAGGGCAUAUAGGGAUGUCCUAUAGGCCAUAUAGGGCCCACGGAGGGCACGUGGGGGUCCCAUAGGGCACAUAGAGGUCCCAUAGGGCACACGGCGGUCCCAUAGGGCACAUAAGGGUCCCAUAGAGCAUAUGGGGGUUCCAUAAGGUACAUGGAGGUGCUAUAGGGCACGUAGGGAUCCAAUAGGGCACACGGAGGUCCCAUAGGGCACACGGCGGUCCCAUAGGGCACAUAGGGGUCCCAUAGGGCACACGGGAGUCCCGUAG
ensembl:lncRNA